rnacentral:rRNA from 1 species
GAUGAACGCUGGCGGCGUGCCUAAUACAUGCAAGUCGAGCGAACAGACGAGGAGCUUGCUCCUCUGACGUUAGCGGCGGACGGGUGAGUAACACGUGGAUAACCUACCUAUAAGACUGGGAUAACUUCGGGAAACCGGAGCUAAUACCGGAUAAUAUAUUGAACCGCAUGGUUCAAUAGUGAAAGACGGUUUUGCUGUCACUUAUAGAUGGAUCCGCGCCGCAUUAGCUAGUUGGUAAGGUAACGGCUUACCAAGGCAACGAUGCGUAGCCGACCUGAGAGGGUGAUCGGCCACACUGGAACUGAGACACGGUCCAGACUCCUACGGGAGGCAGCAGUAGGGAAUCGACCGCAAUGGGCGAAAGCCUGACGGAGCAACGCCACGUGAGUGAUGAAGGUCUUCGGAUCGUAAAACUCUGUUAUUAGGGAAGAACAAAUGUGUAAGUAACUAUGCACGUCUUGACGGUACCUAAUCAGAAAGCCACGGCUAACUACGUG